rnacentral:rRNA from 1 species
UACGUAGGUGGCAAGCGUUGUCCGGAUUUACUGGGCGUAAAGAGCGCGCAGGCGGUCGCUCAAGUCGCGUGUGAAAGCCCCCGGCUCAACCGGGGAAGUGCCUCUGAUACUGGUCGUCUCGAGGGAGGUAGGGGCGUGCGGAACUUCCGGUGGAGCGGUGAAAUGCGUAGAUAUCGGAAGGAACACCGGUGGCGAAAGCGGCGCGCUGGACCUCUUCUGACGCUGAGGCGCGAAAGCCAGGGGAGCGAACGGG